CUGGUGUGCUAUAACAUUUCA
rnacentral:siRNA from 1 species